rnacentral:rRNA from 1 species
GGUGGCGGACGGGUGAGUAACGCGUGAGAAUCUGCCUUGGGGUCGGGGACAACCACUGGAAACGGUGGCUAAUACCGGAUAAGCCGAUUGGUGAAAGAUUUAUUGCCCGAAGAGGAGCUCGCGUCUGAUUAGCUAGUUGGUGAGGUAAGAGCUCACCAAGGCAGCGAUCAGUAGCUGGUCUGAGAGGACGAUCAGCCACACUGGGACUGAGACACGGCCCAGACUCCUACGGGAGGCAGCAGUGGGGAAUUUUCCGCAAUGGGCGAAAGCCUGACGGAGCAAGACCGCGUGAGGGAGGAAGGCUCUUGGGUUGUAAACCUCUUUUCUCAGGGAAGAAGCUCUGACGGUACCUGAGGAAUCAGCCUCGGCUAACUCCGUGCCAGCAGCCGCGGUAAUACGGAGGAGGCAAGCGUUAUCCGGAAUUAUUGGGCGUAAAGCGUCCGCAGGUGGCGAUUCAAGUCUGCUGUCAAAGCACGGGGCUUAACUCCGUAAAGGCAGUGGAAACUGAAUAGCUAGAGUGCCGUAGGGGUAGAGGGAAUUCCCGGUGUAGCGGUGAAAUGCGUAGAGAUCGGGAAGAACAUCGGUGGCGAAAGCGCUCUACUGGACGGCAACUGACACUCAGGGACGAAAGCUAGGGGAGCGAAUGCGAUUAGAUACCCC